GGAAACCCUGACGCAGCAAUACCGCGUGAAGGAUGAAGGCCCUUGGGUUGUAAACUUUUGUCAGAGGGGAAGAAAUACUCGCAAGAGUGCUGACGGUACCCUCAAAGGAAGCACCGGCUAACUUCGUGCCAGCAGCCGCGGUAAUACGGAGGGUGCAAGCGUUGUUUGGAAUUAUUGGGCGUAAAGAGCAGGUAGGCGGACUGUUAAGUUUGGUGUGAAAGCCCGGGGCUCAACCCCGGAAGUGCAUCGGAUACUGGCAGUCUUGAGUAUGGGAGAGGAAAGUGGAAUUCCGAGUGUAGGAGUGAAAUCCGUAGAUAUUCGGAGGAACACCAGUGGGGAAGGCGGCUUUCUGGACCAAUACUGACGCUGAGAUGCGAAAGCGUGGGGAGCAAACAGGAUUAGAUACCCUGGUAGUCC
rnacentral:rRNA from 1 species